AACCUGACCCAAAUGCCCACCAAAUUGGGCUAGCUAAUUAGCAAGGGAUGAGACCAAAUUGAUCUCCAAAGGAGCUAGGGUUUUCACACGUGCUAGCAUCCUUAUCUAACCCUGAUUGAAUCCAAAAUUUCAAUCAACCUUUUUCAAAAGGGUCAUUGGCCAAUUUUUAUAUAUGUGUGACCCAUUAGGUUUCACAUCUAGCUCACAGU
rnacentral:lncRNA from 1 species